AGGAGUCAGACAAUGGGAGGUUUUAGUUGAAGUGACAUGGUCUGACCUGAGCUGAGACUUGAAGCUUCUGCAACUUGCCCUGUUUUGACAUUAGUAGGUGAGAGGAAAAUAAUUUUCAAUAAAACAACCGAUAAAUGAUGGGCUAAGAGAAAGCUGCCUGGGCAGAAGGAGCCGAAAUCAGCUAAAGCAUUCUGAAAAUGUAUUGGAUUUGACUGGAGCUCGCCCGUGGGACACCGUAGGAGGGGCACCACAGUACUAUCGCUCCCCACGCCUGGGAACUUAUGCCGAGUCUCAGGAUGCGACAGCUCGGAGGAGAUUCCGGUGAGAACGGGAGCCUCCCGUUUGGGAGCACCAAUCAUCUGGUGCACUACUUAGAUCAUCCGCAUCCUGAUCCAUUUUCCAUCUUCAGAUACCACUUGACGCCUGGAGAAAGUCUGGGACGACCUCUAGAAUUAAUCUGGCUUAAACCUCUGUUGUCAAAUAAGGUUCCAUCUGAAGACUUCCCCAGGAUUCAAGCCCUGGGAGACCUGAUGCAAAAUGCCCCCUCAGUUAUGUAAUGGGUUCCUCGACAUAACUUUUUAGUGACCUGAGUACAAAUAUCUUUUAUGGUGAAUUUUUCUCUUCAGAAUGGGAUAAUUUUUUUUUCAAGGUCCUGAGUUUCUUGGAUGUUUAUACAAAUGGUGUUUUCAUUACAAUACUUAUGAAAAUCUCAAGGAUUUGUACUUUGAGGUUUAUUUAUCAUAGGAUUAAUACCAGAGGUGAUUGCUGAAGCCCUCACUGCCUAUAAAGUACUUUCCUGGUGAUCAUUUUACACAUGAAAUUUUCUUUUGCUGAAAAACUUGACCAUUUGGAGAAGUGUUAGUGUCCUAGUUUUUUUCUUUGGGAAGGAGUGGGGAGUUGAAUGUUGCAGAGACAAAAAUUUUCUGCAUAUCUGUGAGGUAGGCACUCUUUCUUACACACACUCACCGAAUUCUUGAAAACUUUGAGAGUAAAUAUUGUCCCUGUGUAAGUGAAGAGAUAGGCUUGAAGGGAUUAAAUAAUUUGUGUAGCCUCAAAUGACUAGGAAAUAAACAAGGUAGGAUUCAAAAACCCAUGACUCUGACGGGGUCUGUAUUUGCUCCACCAGAUCAUGCUGCCUCUCAAAUUCUAAAGUUCUAACUCUUGCAAUUAAUGCUAUAAUCCUUUUAAAUGUGCUCUCAGUUCAAAAUACAGAUUUGUACUUAAUUUUUGUAUGUUUUGUUAAUCUCCAAAUUAACCAUAAGCUUCGAUAACUCAUGUAUAAGCAAUAAAGUAAAAUAAAAUUUGGA